rnacentral:rRNA from 1 species
UACGAAGGGGGGCUAGCGUUGCUCGGAAUCACUGGGCGUAAAGCGCACGUAGGCGGGUCGUUAAGUCAGGGGGUGAAAUCCCAGAGCUCAACUCUGGAACUGCCUUUGAUACUGGCGACCUAGAGUUCGGAAGAGGUUAGUGGAAUUCCCAGUGUAGAGGUGAAAUUCGUAGAUAUUGGGAAGAACACCAGUGGCGAAGGCGGCUAACUGGUCCGAUACUGACGCUGAGGUGCGAAAAGCGUGGGGAGCAAACAGGG